rnacentral:rRNA from 1 species
AUUGAACGCUGGCGGCAUGCUUUACACAUGCAAGUCGAACGGUAACAGGGAGCUUGCUCCGCUGACGAGUGGCGAACGGGUGAGUAAUGCGUCGGAACGUGCCGAGUAGUGGGGGAUAACGCAGCGAAAGUUGUGCUAAUACCGCAUACGUACUGAGGUAGAAAGUGGGGGACCUUCGGGCCUCACGCUAUUCGAGCGGCCGACGUCUGAUUAGCUAGUAGGUGAGGUAAAGGCUCACCUAGGCGACGAUCAGUAGCGGGUCUGAGAGGAGGAGCCGCCACACUGGGACUGAGACACGGCCCAGACGCCUACGGGAGGCAGCAGUGGGGAAUUUUGGACAAUGGGCGAAAGCCUGAUCCAGCCAUGCCGCGUGUCUGAAGAAGGCCUUCGGGUUGUAAAGGACUUUUGUCGGGGAGGAAAUCCCCAGCGCUAAUACCGCUGGGGGAUGACAGUACCUGAAGAAUAAGCACCGGCUAACUACGUGCCAGCCGCCGCGGUAACAC